GCUACUUCACGCGGAAGGCCGCAACCGUCGACGUGGCGGACUGCCCUCAGAAGCCUGGGGAGCUGCGGGUGGACACGGAGGGGGGGCCUCCAGAGCUGGAGGAGCCGUCAUGCGAGGGCCUU
rnacentral:rRNA from 1 species